GGGUCUCCUCAUUCACCAAGCAGGCGGGGGUGACAUCCUGGCAGAGGCCUCCUUCCCCAUGCCCUGACCCCAGUCUGCCCACAGCCCUCUGAGCCCUGAAUGGACCUGGUCUUCUCAGAGAGUAGGAAUGCCGUCCAGGCCAGGGUUGGCAGGGUUUAAGGACCCUCAGCCCAACAGAAACCCUAUGGGGUGGGUGCUGUGGGCUUGUCCCUCUCUGAACCCCAGGCUGAAACUCCUCCAUGGAUGGUGGGACUGAGGUUGGGGCUGCAGGGAGGUGGGCAGGGCCCUCGGGUUGGAGAGGCACCAGAAGAUGCUGGGGCCACUACGGAUCCCCAGGCAGAUGACCUCCUCACAUCACAUUCCCCUUGGCUCCUUCCCAGGCCUCUCCUGAGGGUGAUGCAUCUGCAAAAGUGGAAGGGCCCUAUCUGGUAUUUCCUUGGGUUCCUGAUUUAACCCUCUCAAUCUCCAGCAAAUGCAACCACACCUGUACCUGCAGCUAGGUUGGGACCCCCUUGUAAACUUGACUACACAGCUGCAGGAGGGAAUGCAGUGUUGGUGAGAUGGGCCCAGGGCAGCACCUUGGAGUUCAGGGAAUGGGAAGCAUCGAGAAGAUUCUGGCUUCAGCUCCACGGUGUCUCCAGAGAGACUGGGCCUCCCUAGAGCUGAGCCUCGUCCUCCACAAGGAGCGGGGACUGUGGCCCUGACCUGUCGCUCCCCCUGCCGCCAACCUUGGGGCUGCGGAGUCUUUGGCUCUGGCAUCAGACUCUCCCCAGGCAGGGGACUCUCCUGGGAACAGGACAGCAGGACGCUCUGUGUGGGCCCCCAGCUCCAUUGUGACAGAGUGCCCUCAGGGGGCACGCAGCGCCCACCUUCUCACUGUGAUGGUAGUGGCCCCAUUUCCUGAGCAUUGUUAGCCUCUUGUUGUCUUGCCAGGUCUGCUAACGUUGUUUCUGGAAAAGGACAAGCAGGGGCAGCAGAUGAGCCUCCAGCCAUGGGAAGUGAGCACUCGGUGCCACGUCCAGUCGCCCUGCGAGGACUCAGAGGAGCCAGGACGGCACAGAGCUGUUCCCGCUGACUGGCUCGGGGUCUCGGAGCCCCUGAGCUAGACUCAUGCCAACCAUUCAAGGACACACUGGGCUGUGAGCAGGGCUGAGAGGGCCAGGGACAGCCCCGGUGGCCCCACAUGGAGUCUCCAGCCUCUGUGAGGUACCUGUGGGGCAGUCGACCCAGCAGCCUCCUCCCCUCCAACCAAGGCCACUGGGCUGUCCUCCUUCCCUCGUUCCAGCCCCAGGUUGGCCUCCUCCUCUUUUUCCAUCUUCCUGACCAAGCUGGUCGGCCCCUUCCUCUGCCGCCCACCCUCCCUCCCUGAGCUUGCUUUGACCCCAGCAUCUACCUGCAGCCCCACAGAAUCCUUCAGGACUGUGGAGGCCCUGGGCUGAGGGUGUGAGUGAGGAGUACCCCUCUGUACUCGCCCCAGACCAGACCGUCCUCCUACAGAAAACACACCACGGUCCCAGAGCCCCUCAACUCUGGAAUCCUUGCUGAAGGACAGGACUCCCCCCACCCCGAUGCAGGAGGCAGAAACCUGGCCCUCCCUGAAGCAAUUGUGGAGGCUCCUCCUCUGAGUGCCCAGGGGCCCGACCCCAGGCCCAGCUCCGCUCCUACCCACUUCCCGGGUUUGCCUCCUGGGUCUCUCAGCUCCAGCCUCAUGCAGACAUGGCCCUCAGAGGACUACAGUGGACGAGGUCCUGACCUGGGUGGAUGAGCCAGCCCCCAGAGAGACGUUCCUGCAAAUGCAAACCCCCUCCUGAAAUGGAUGAGUGGGUGUCCGGGGAACUCACUGCAGAAAGCUGUGACGGUCCGUGACCUUCCACAGUGACAGUAGGCUGCAGGCAACUGCUGACCUGAUGCUUGGGUGACGUCUUCCAGCCUAGGACUUGCGCCGAGAUGGCGGUGGAUGGGGCUGCCAGUGAGUGUUCCUGCGGACCUGGGGCAGACUGAAGUUUUCUCUUAGAUUCCACAAGCACAAUGACCAAAGGAAAAAAGCAAUGAACUGGACAUUAUCGAAAUUAAAAACUUAUGCCAGCAAAAGUGUAACCAAACUA